rnacentral:rRNA from 1 species
AACGAACGCUGGCGGCAGGCUUAACACAUGCAAGUCGAACGAUGUAGCAAUACAUAGUGGCGCACGGGUGAGUAACGCGUGGGAACGUGCCCUUCAGUCUGGGAUAACAGCGGGAAACUGCUGCUAAUACUGGAUAUUCCCUCCGGGGGAAAGAUUUAUCGCUGAAGGAUCGGCCCGCGUAAGAUUAGGUAGUUGGUGGGGUAAUGGCCUACCAAGCCUACGAUCUUUAGCUGGUCUGAGAGGAUGAUCAGCCACACUGGAACUGAGACACGGUCCAGACUCCUACGGGAGGCAGCAGUGGGGAAUAUUGGACAAUGGGCGAAAGCCUGAUCCAGCCAUGCCGCGUGAGUGAUGAAGGCCUUAGGGUUGUAAAGCUCUUUUGUCAGGGAAGAUAAUGACGGUACCUGAAGAAUAAGCACCGGCUAACUUCGUGCCAGCCGCCGCGGUAA